rnacentral:rRNA from 1 species
UGGGGAAUAUUGCACAAUGGGGGAAACUCUGAUGCAGCGACGCCGCGUGAACGAAGAAGGCAUUCGUAUCGUAAAGUUCUGUCUUAAGGGAAGAUAAAGACAGUACCAUAGAAGACAGCUCAGGCUAAUUCCGUUCCAGCAGCCCAGGCUACAUGUAUGGAGCGAGCGUUGUCCGGAAUUACUGGGCGUAAAGGGGACGUAGGCGGUUUAAUAAGUCAAAUGUUAAAGACCGGGGCUCAACCCCGAUAAGCAGUGGAAACUGAUAAACUUGAGUAGUGGAGAGGAAAGUGGAAUUCCUAGUGUAGUGGUGAAAUGCGUAGAUAUUAGGAGGAAUGCCAGUUGCGAAGGCGACUUUCUGGACACAAACUGACGCUGAGGUACGAAAGCGUGGGGAGCGAACAGG